CCUACGGGGGGCAGCAGUCGAGAAUCAUUCACAAUGGGCGAAAGCCUGAUGGUGUGACGCCGCGUGGAGGAUGAAGGUCUUCGGAUUGUAAACUCCUGUCAAGUGAGAGUGAGUAUCACUAGAGGAAGAGGCGGCUAACUCUGUGCCAGCAGCCGCGGUAAUACAGAGGCCUCAAGCGUUGUUCGGAAUCACUGGGCGUAAAGGGUGCGUAGGCGGCGCGGAAAGUCAGAGGUGAAAUCCCGGAGCUCAACUCCGGAACUGCCUCCGAUACUCCCGCGCUCGAGGACUGGAGAGGAGUCUGGAAUUCACGGUGGAGCAGUGAAAUGCGUGGAUAUCGUGAGGAACACUAGUGGCGAAGGCGAGACUCUGGACGUCCUGACGCUGAGGCACGAAGGCCAGGGGAGCGAACGGGAUUAGAUACCCUUGUAGUC
rnacentral:rRNA from 1 species